GUGGGGGAUAUUGCACAAUGGGGGAAACCCUGAUGCAGCAAUGCCGCGUGAGGGAAGAAGGCCUUCGGGUUGUAAACCUAAGUUGUCAGGGACGAAUAUUGACGGUACCUGAAGAGAAAGCUCCGGCUAACUACGUGCCAGCAGCCGCGGUAAUACGUAGGGAGCGAGCGUUGUCCGGAUUUACUGGGUGUAAAGGGUGCGUAGGCGGGUUUGCAAGUCAGACGUGAAAUGCCGGGGCUUAACCCCGGAGCUGCGUUUGAAACUGUAGAUCUUGAGUGAAGUAGAGGCAGGCGGAAUUCCUAGUGUAGCGGUGAAAUGCGUAGAUAUUAGGAGGAACACCAGUGGCGAAGGCGGCCUGCUGGGCUUUAACUGACGCUGAGGCACGAAAGCAUGGGGAGCAAACAGGAUUAGAAACCCCUGUAGUCC
rnacentral:rRNA from 1 species